AAUCCCAUGCGGUUAUGUAUUUUGUUUAAAUGAGACUGGUAUAGCGUGUCUACCUGAUCAGAGUGUUUGUGUAUGUCCAGACGGUUUAUAUGGUAAUGGAAGAUUUGCCUGUAUUAAUAAAGCCACUCAGAGUCUAUGCACCAUAUAUGGAGAUCCACAUGUGAUAUUAUUUGACCAAGCCAAACUUUCCGUGCCACUACCAUGCCGCCAUGUUAUCAGUGAUUUUGAGACGCCUGCCGGAUGUAAGAUUAAAGUAACAGGAUUUACUGCGUUUGUCGAGAACGGUGAUUGGCCGGCGCAUGUUUAUGAAGCAGGAUUUGAAUUAGAAGGAGUAGCCUUUUCACAUAACCUUAUAGCUGGAGUUGACGGUUAUGGUUUCUUUAGCAAGAGUGUCGUGCGACAAAGGGGAGUGUUGCGAAAUAACGUUCAGACUGUGGACAUGUUGACCGAACCAGAUAAUAGUGGUUUCUACGACAUGUUCAUACCACAAUGUGAAGUAAAGGCCUCGUAUAGACCGAUUGAUUCAGCUAUCAACGUCAUCGCUCCAGUAGGAACAGUUUUUAAUGGCGGUGUUUGUGGCGUCACUAAUGACAGUAUCAGUAAUGUUCGCACUCAUGCGGCAGCUUUAGGUCUGAAUAUCGACCAAUAUUCGAUUUACACCUUCGCUGAACAAAUGGAUAAGGAAUAUGAGUUUGACCAGUCAUGUAUAGAUUUUUCGUCAGUUAUGAAAAGCUGCUCAACGAUUUAUAAAGUUAAUGCUGUCAGAUUCUGUGGGUCGCCAUUUUACAAUCAGUUAUUUGGAGAAACACUGAUGAAGUACAUGCAAAAGAAAGAUAUCUUCACAUUGAUGAACAGUUGUUUGAACGAUUUUUGUAGUACUGGUAAAUCGAUCGCCACAUGUUCGGCCUUCAAGAGAGCUUUUGAUGAAUUCCCACAACCCACAGGUCUGGAAGAAAUUCAGCCAUUUUGUUGACCUUUGUGUCAAUUUUACUGAGGGUUGAAGAUAGGUU